rnacentral:rRNA from 1 species
GACGAACGCUGGCGGCGUGCUUAACACAUGCAAGUCGAACGGAAAGGCCUGCUUUCCCUUGUGGAUUGCGGGUACUCGAGUGGCGAACGGGUGAGUAACACGUGAGUGAUCUGCCCCCAACUUGGGUAUAAGCCUGGGAAACUGGGUCUAAUUCCCGAUAGGACUGCAGGGUGGUGCCUGUGGUGGAAAACGAUUUUCUAGUGGUUGGGGAUGAGCUCGCGGCCUAUCAGCUUGUUGGUGGGGUAAUGGCCUACCAAGGCGGCGACGGGUAGCCGGCCUGAGAGGGUGGACGGCCACAUUGGGACGGAGAUACGGCCCAGACUACUACGGGAGGCAGCAGUGGGGAAUAUUGCACAAUGGGCGGAAGCCUGAUGCAGCGACGCCGCGUGGGGGAUGACGGCCUUCGGGUUGUAAACUCCUUUCGACCGCGAGGAAGCCACCUGGUUGGAAGGGUGGUGACGGUAGUGGUAGAAGAAGCACCGGCUAACUACGUG